UGUGUUGCUUGCAAGGGCGUAUGGUGGAUGCCUUGGCAGACAGGACCGAUGAAGGACGUUUGAGGCUGCGAUAUGCCUCGGGGAGCCGCCAACAGGGCUUUGAUCCGAGGAUUUCCGAAUGGGGGAACCCACCGACCGUCAUGGGUCGGUACCGGCUUCGGCCGGGGGGUACGCAGGGAAGUGAAACAUCUCAGUACCUGCAGGAAAGGAUAUUCCGUGAGUAGUGGCGAGCGAAAGCGGAUGAUGGCCAAACCUUGCGCGUGUGAUACCCGUCGGGGGUUGCGCGCGGGGUGUUGCGGGAUCGCGUGNNNNNNNNNNNNNNNNNNNNNNNNNNNNNNNNNNNNNNNNNNNNNNNNNNNNNNNNNNNNNNNNNNNNNNNNNNNNNNNNNNNNNNNNNNNNNNNNNNNNGCCGGCUCCGACGGGCCGGCCGGCAGUUGCAGAAAACCAUGUGUCAGGGGAACCGGGUUGAAUACCGGGCCGCAGAGGGUGAGGGCCCCGUACCUGAACGCGCAUGGUCUGCCGAUCGCGUCUCCCAAGUAGCACGGGUCCCGUGGAACCCCGUGCGAAUCCGCCCAGACCGUUGGGUAAGCCUGAAUAUUCCUGUCUGACCGAUAGCGAACGAGUACCGUGAGGGAAAGGUGAAAAGUACCCCGGGAGGGGAGUGAAACAGUCUCUGAAACCGUGCGCCUACAAUCCGUCGGAGCCCUUUUGUGGGGUGACGGCGUGCCUAUCGAAAAAUGAGUCUGCGAGUCAGUGGCAUGUGGCGAGCAUAACCCGUGUGGGGUAUGCGUAGCGAAGGCGAGUCUUAAAAGGCGUUUGAGUCGCGUGUCCUGGACCCGAAGCGGGAUGAUCUAGCCCUGAGCAGGUUGAAGCGCGGGUAAGACCGCGUGGAGGACCGAACCCACCUGGGUUGAAAACCGGGGGGAUGACUUGGGGCUAGGGGUGAAAGGCCAAUCAAAUUCCGUGAUAGCUGGUUCUCUCCGAAAUGCAUUUGGGUGCAGCGUCGGGUCAUUACGUCCCGGGGGUAGAGCUACUGGAUGCUUGCGGGCCCGUAUCGGGUACCAACAGCAACCAAACUCCGAAUACCGGUGACGCGUAUCCCGGCAGUGAGUCGGCGGGGGAUAAGCUUCGUCGUCGAAAGGGAAACAGCCCAGACCGUCGUCUAAGGUCCCGAAGCGUGUGCUAAGUGGGAAAGGAUGUGGAGUCGCAUAGACAGCCAGGAGGUUGGCUCAGAAGCAGCCACCCUUGAAAGAGUGCGUAACAGCUCACUGGUCUAGUGGUUCCGCGCCGACAAUGUAGCGGGGCUCAAGCACACCACCGAAGACGCGGCAGUAUUUUGUACUGGGUAGGAGAGCGUCCCGUGAGGGGCGAAGCGGCCGUGUGAACGCGCCGUGGACUUCAUGGGAGUGAGAAUGCAGACAUGAGUAGCGAGAGACGGGUGAAGAUCCCGUCCGCUGGAUGACCAAGGGUUCCAGGGCCACGUUCAUCGUCCCUGGGUGAGUCGGGUCCUAAGGCGAGGCCGACAGGCGUAGUCGAAUGGAUGAACGGGUCGAUAUUCCCGUACCGGCUUUCAGCCGCCAAAACCGAGGCUUGGAGUACUAACCUCCGGGUCCGGGCUUACUGCUCCUUCGGGGGCGGGAUGCCCUGGCCUGUUGGGACCGAUCCUUGUAGUAGGUCAGCGCAGGAGUGACGCAGAAGGGUAGCCGGCCGCGGAGGUGGUCUUCCGUGGUCAAGCACGCAGGGCGUGGGACAGGCAAAUCCGUCCCGCAUGGGUCCGAGGUGCGAUGAUGGGGGCCUUAUGGCCCGAUAUCCGGUGAUCCCGGCUGCCGAGAAAAGCUUCGGCGUCAGGCUCAAAGCCGCCCGUACCCCAAACCGACACUGGUGGUCAGGUAGAGAAUACCAAAGCGAUCGAGCGAAUCCUGGUCAAGGAACUCGGCAAAUCACUCCCGUUCCUUCGGUUUAAGGGAGACCCCCGAUGGUGAACACACUUGCUGUGGGAGCUUUUGGGGGUGGCACAGACCAGGGGGUAGCGACUGUUUACCAAAAACACAGGUGCAUGCGAAGGCGCAAGCCGCUGUAUAUGCACUGACGCCUGCCCGGUGCCGGAAGGUUAAGAGGAUCCGUCAGCCUUCGGGUGAAGCGGUGAAUUCAAGCCCCGGUAAACGGCGGUGGUAACUAUAACCAUCCUAAGGUAGCGAAAUUCCUUGUCGGGUAAGUUCCGACCUGCACGAAUGGCGUAACGACUUCCCCACUGUCUCGACCAGGAGCUCGGCGAAAUUGCAGUACGAGUAAAGAUGCUCGUUAAGCGCAGAAGGACGAAAAGACCCCGGGACCUUUACUAUACCUUGGUAUUGGCAUUCGGUGUGGAUUGUGUAGCAUAGGCGGGAGGCCGAGAGGCGCGGUCGCCAGAUCGCGCGGAGCCGUAAGGUGAAAUACCGCUCUGUUCGCAUUGGAUGUCUAACCUCGAACAGUCAUCCUGUUCAGGGACAGUGCCUGGCGGGUAGUUUAACUGGGGCGGUUGCCUCCCAAAGAGUAACGGAGGCGCCCAAAGGUCCGCUCAGCCCGGUUGGCAAUCGGGUGGCGAGUGCAAGUGCACAAGCGGGCUUGACUGCGAGGACGACGGUCCGAGCAGGGACGAAAGUCGGGACUAGUGAUCCGGUGCCGGUGUACGGACGCGGCAUCGCUCAACGGAUAAAAGGUACCCCGGGGAUAACAGGCUGAUCAUUCCCAAGAGUCCAUAUCGACGGGAUGGUUUGGCACCUCGAUGUCGGCUCGUCGCAUCCUGGGGCUGGAGCAGGUCCCAAGGGUUCGGCUGUUCGCCGAUUAAAGCGGCACGCGAGCUGGGUUCAGAACGUCGUGAGACAGUUUGGUCUCUAUCCUCUGCGCUCGUUGGAAUGCUGAGGAGGCCUGCCCAUAGUACGAGAGGACCUGGGUGGACGAACCUCUGGUAUGCCGGUUGUCACGCCAGUGGCACGGCCGGUUGGCUACGUUCGGAAGGGAUAACCGCUGAAAGCAUCUAAGCGGGAAGCCUGCUCCAAGAUAAGCAUUCCGUGGAACCUUCGAGUUCCUGUAGUCCCCAUGCAGAACACGUGGUUGAUAGGCCGGACGUGGAAGCCCCGCGAGGGGUGGAGCCGACCGGUACUAACGGACGAAAGGCAACACUAA
rnacentral:rRNA from 1 species